rnacentral:rRNA from 1 species
AGCUCCAAUAGCGUAUAUUAAAGUUGUUGCAGUUAAAAAGCUCGUAGUUGAACCUCGGGCCUGGCUGGCCGGUCCGCCUCACCGCGUGCACUGGUCCGGCCGGGCCUUUCCUCCUGGGGAUCCCCAUGCCCUUCGCUGGGCGUGGCGGGGAACCAGGGCUUUUACUUUGAAAAAAUUAGAGUGUUCAAAGCAGGCCUUUGCUCGGAUACCUUAGCAUGGAAUAAUGGAAUAGGACGGCCCUCCUAUUUUGUUGGUUUCUAGGGGGGCCGUAAUGAUUAAUAGGGACGGUCGGGGGCAUUAGUAUUCAAUUGUCAGAGGUGAAAUUCUUGGACCUAUUGAAGACUACCUACUGCGAAAGCAUUUGCCAAGGAUGUUUUCA